GACGAACGCUGGCGGCGUGCUUAACACAUGCAAGUCGAACGGAGUUACAAGAAAGCUUGCUUUUGAGUAACUUAGUGGCGGACGGGUGAGUAACGCGUGAGCAACCUGCCUUUCAGAGGGGAAUAACACAGUGAAAACUGUACUAAUACCGCAUAACGUGUUUUGUUCGCAUGAACGAAAUACCAAAGGAGCAAUCCGCUGAAAGAUGGGCUCGCGUCCGAUUAGAUAGUUGGUGAGGUAACGGCCCACCAAGUCUGCGAUCGGUAGCCGGACUGAGAGGUUGAACGGCCACAUUGGGACUGAGAUACGGCCCAGACUCCUACGGGAGGCAGCAGUGAGGGAUAUUAGGCAAUGGGGGAAACCCUGACCUAGCAACGCCGCGUGAAGGAUGAAGGUUUUCGGAUUGUAAACUUCUUUGACGAGGGACGAUAGUGACGGUACCUCGAAAACAAGCCACGGCUAACUACGUG
rnacentral:rRNA from 1 species